GACGGAGGAUGCAAGCGUUAUCCGGAAUGAUUGGGCGUAAAGCGUCCGCAGGUGGCCGUUCAAGUCUGCUGUCAAAGACCGGGGCUUAACUUCGGAAAGGCAGUGGAAACUGAACAGCUAGAGUAUGGUAGGGGCAGAGGGAAUUCCUGGUGUAGCGGUGAAAUGCGUAGAGAUCAGGAAGAACAUCGGUGGCGAAGGCGCUCUACUGGACCAUAACUGACACUCAGGGACGAAAGCUAGGGGAGCGAAUGGG
rnacentral:rRNA from 1 species